AGAACUGGUCGCCGGUUCCGUCGGGUCUCUUUGCGGACAGAUGGUCUCGCACGUCACGGAAAUCUCCACGUCAUGCGGAGGCGAAACGGACCGAAGAUCAGGCAAAGAAGGAGGCCCGGUUAA
rnacentral:sRNA from 1 species